UUUCAUGGACACGCCUACUACGGUACGGGGUUUCCUAUCCCUUUCUGCAAGAGCGCAGCCUUUUUCCCACGCCUUUGUGAAGAUUGGAGGACUUGAGAUUUUCAGGAAGGGACUUCAUGCAGUGCAAGUCGUGCAAGUUUUCAAGCUCCUCCCAGGAAAUUCUUCUUAAGCAUUGUAGGCUUCACCACGGUCACGGUACACAUUGGCCUUGCAUUUACACAGAUUGUGUAUGUGUAUUUAAAACAUCUGGUGCAUUACGGUCACACCUCUCAAGAUCACACACAUCCACUGUAAAUUCACCCAAUUCAACAUUUCAAUGUGAAUUGUGCGACUUUAAAGAGAUUUGCAGCGAAAAGACUUUUUGGAACCAUCUAGCAAACCAUUUAAGGAAUCGAGAGACUGUGCAAUGCCCCAUUCUAAGAUGCAAUUUCAAAACCAACAUUCGCCCAACCUUUACUUCUCAUAGAAGCCGUAAUCACAGACAUUGUACUCUUAAAGAUUUUCGAACUGUAUGUAGAGGCAACACUGACAUUGAAGCAAGUGAUGGGGAACUGGAUGAUUGUGAAGCAGGGGUGUCAUUGGAGAGUGGUGUAGAUUACGUUGAUGAGAUUGUGGAUGGUGAAACACUUGAGCACAAAUUAGCUAGUCUCUUUUUGUGUAUGAUAACAGAGCUGCAUAUUAGUAGGCACGCUACACAAAAAGUUGUAGAGGAAUUGCAUAACAUUCUGUCUUUUGCUAGCAAUCAGACUUUGAGAAGUGUGAAAGAGAUACUUUUGAGGCAUACAAUUGAAGUAGAUGAUUCAGUUCUGCAUGAAAUAUCUGAUGCCAUUGUCAAGACUAAUCCACUCUUGGUAACAACAGCUGCAAAAGGCUGCCUCUCUACAGAUUAUCGCAGGACUUUAUAUUUUCAGGAGAAGUUUUCUGUAAUAGAACCAACAGAGUAUCUUUUUAACCCAGUUCUCAAGAAUUCAUUUGUGUAUAUAUCAGUCCCAAAGGUGCUUAGAAGUCUACUUAAUAGAGAAGAUUUUUCAGAACAGGUUGUAUUUGGUCAAGAUUCUUUCCCUGGAUCCUACAAGUCUUUCCAAGACGGAACGCACUUUAAAGACAAUAAGCUUUUGGGACAGCAGAACAAAUGCAUCAGUCUGGCAUUAUACACGGAUGAUUUUGAAAUCUGUAAUCCUUUGGGCACCUCUAAAAAGAUUUAUAAGAUAACUGCAGUCUAUUGGGUUCUUCUAAAUUUACCUGCCAAGUUCCGAUCUAGCCUUACAUCAAUUCAGCUUGCUCUUCUUGGUAGAAGUGAUGAUGUUAAGGCGUAUGGUUAUGAAAAGUUUCUUGAACCCUUGAUUAAAGAUAUACGGUGUAUAGAGGAAGAGGGACUAUUUGUUGAAGUGCUUGAUCAGUUUGUCAAAGGUACUGUGUUUUGUGUGUGCGCAGAUAACCUUGCAGCACAUAGUCUUGCGGGCUUUUCUGAAAGUUUUAAUGUUGAGAAGUUCUGUCGGUUUUGUUUGAUAAGCAAGCACCAAAUUGCUACGACUCAUGUUGAGGAUUUCGAGUUAAGGGCUGUUGAUGGACACAGUGCAGUUUUGGAAGAGCUCGGGCAGAACGAAGCACUCAAAAGCAUUGAUGGUGUCAAAAAUGAGUGUGUUCUUGAGAAGCACUUACAAUUCUUUCAUACAGUGAAUGGCUUUCCUCCAGAUAUACUGCAUGAUUUUUUCGAAGGGGUCAUCCCUUAUGAAUUGUGUUUGUGUUUGAAAAAUUUGAUUGCUAAAGGUUUUUUAACGUUGGAUGUGCUUAAUAACAGCAUAAAGUCAUUUCCAUACAAAAACACAGACAAAGUAAACAAACCAAAACACAUUUCGAAGGGAAGCUUCAAGAAGGGUACGGUUGCAGGCAAUGGACAUGAGAAUUGGGCUUUGUUGCGCUUACUUCCUUUUUUAAUUGGAUGCAAGAUACCCCAAAAUGAACCUGCUUGGAUGAUUUUAAUGGACCUCAAGGACAUUGUUGAAAUAGUUGUUUCACACAAGCUCUCAGAGGCAGCUCUGUGCCGUCUGUCUUCCAAACUGCAGGACCACCGUCAAUUGCUUACUGAUACAUUUCCAGAGUACAAACUUAAACCAAAGAACCAUUUCAUUGAGCAUUACCCACAUCUAAUGCGUUGUUAUGGCCCUCUGGUGGAAUUAUGGACGAUGCGAUAUGAGGCGAAGCACAGCUUUUUUUAAAAAGUGGUUCACGACACAAACAACUGGAAAAAUGUGCUGCUUACUCUCUCCAUGAAACACCAGCAAUUGUUGGCCUACCACCUGGAUAGCCCUAACCUUUUCAAGGAAAAGCUCAUUGUUGAAAGAGUGAAAGUGGUCACGGUCUCAGAAUUGGAUACCACACUGAGGUGUGUAAUUGAGAGGAAGUAUCCACAUCUUGAUAGUGUGAGUCUUUCUAAAUCCGUUCAGCUACAUGGCACACAGUAUGCAGAGGGCAUGGUUUUAUCUUCCGGCCAGUGCAAUGACCUUCCAAAAUUUCACAAGAUUUCAAUCAUUCUGAUAAAUGCACAGGAAGUGACGUUUAUUUGCCGAACACUUGUUUCAAGGUACAUUGAACAUUUACGAUCUUAUGAACUUGUUGAAAGCCAACUCUCUGAAACUGUUGCCUUGGAUCCAGAUCUGUUGAUAGACUAUCACCCUCUAGAACAAUACAAAGUUGGUGGGAAACUGAUGGUGACCACAAGGACAUUCAUCCUCAACUAAGCCAUUAAAAAUGACUUUGUUACUUCGAGUAGUUAUCUCUCCAAAAGAAGCCCGUCGAAUCCUGCUCACAGAGAUACCAGCAUCUGUUGACCAGCUCAUCGAUGUACUUAAAGACAAAAUCCAGUUGGAAGGUGAUUUCUCACUCCAGUUCGAGGACCCCGAUUUUUCAAAUGCAUUAUGUCAGUUGACUCAAAUGUCAGAGUUGCCAGAUGGGCGUGCUGUCUUGCACAUUGUGUGGAACACUGGGGAAUCUCCCCUCAGCCGAUCUGAUAGCCAUUCCAUUGGCUCAGUGUCCUCCCUUGACACAGCCAGCUUACACUCUGAGGACUGCAAUGAGGCGCAGAGGAGCCCUACUCGUUCCUUCCAGGGGAGCUUGUUCGAGUCCCUCCCUUCUACCUCCUCAAGUUCUGUCCAGGGGAGCUUGUUCGAGUCCCUCCCUUCUCCCUCCUCAAGUUCUGUCCAGAGCAAUACAGAUUCUCCCCAGACCCCUUUAAGGCGUACAACUCAGUGGCCAAAUCCAUUCACAAUCCCUAAAUUUGCGUAUGAUGUUGAGCUGCGAUUGCGUAAGGGAAAUUACAUAUAUGAAAGAACACAGAAGCGCCUCAUUCUUACAGGAGAUAUGAGAUCUGACAUUGUGAAUAAACUUUGGCAGAGUAUUUUUGAUAUCAGAGGCGCCUAUCCCAGUAAGGAUGAAUUAGUGUCUGUUGCGUCUGGUCUUCUGGUCAAGUAUCCUUGUCUAAAGGAGACAGAUAGUGUAACUGGCUAUGAUGGAUGGCUGAAGAGCCUUCAUUAUAAGAUGGGCAACUUCAGGGCAAAGUUGCGUCGUGCAGGCUGCAAUGAGGUGAUGGUGAAUACAAAAAGAAAGGGAGAGGAUGGAGUGGCUGCUCCGUUCAUCCUGAAAAGGGCCAAACGUGGAGAGGUCAACCAUGUUCCAGAAUAUCCAGACAAUCAUGAUGGUACCACUCUUGAGGAGGAAAGGCUUGCACUGAUUGAAGAAAUGAAGAAAAGGAAAAGGAACAUGGGUCUGAUUAGGCAGAAGAUGGAACUGACUUUCUCCCAUCGUCGGAGAGAAAUCGUAGAAGUGCAGCCUAUGGUGUCAGAAGUCCAAGAACGAUGGCCUGCACUGUUUUCUCAUGAGGAGAUAUCUGAAGAAUUUUAUCGAAUCACCAGCAGAGACCUCUGGGCAACCUGGAAUGCAUCCCUCGACAACUACGUACCUCGCCUGAUAAAACUGUACCGAGCCAGAAAAGCAGCUUCUGGUCCAGAUAUGGAGAUGUUGCUGAAUAAACUUGAUGAAGAGACAACAGACAUUGUGCGUCAUCGAAGGACAGCAGCACUGAAAGGCCUUCCCAUUUUUGUUCGUGACGAUGCAUCACAGUUCUAUUUGAAGUGUGUGGACACAGACCCUGAAGAAUCGGUAGUUGCAGGAGUGCCCGUUGCAAUACUGACUGUCUAUGUUGAUGAUGAUGCUGCCGCAUGGACAACAGUGACUGACAUCGCCAUCAUCUUGGAAGGGGCAGUAAUACUACACAACUUACCUGACCUCGCAGCUGCCUUCGCCUGCCUGUUUGGCCUUUUGUACGCAAUGGACAUAAACUAUCCAGAGCAGAUGAGGUACACCUUCGAGGCUAUCCAGAACAUCUUUUUCGAACUUGGAUCAAGAUGCUCACAGCGCACGCGAUCCUUGAAAGAGAAGCUGUUGCUGUGAAGCCUGUGUAUGAUUGACACUCACCUGGACAUCAACACGCAUGCACUCACACACAGCUUUGUCAUAACUCCUGCAUGAACACACACACAAAGCUCUUCUUUGCCGACUACCACAUUAACAGGCCUGUACACACACAUUGUUCUCCAACAACUUCUCCAUGAACACACACACACAUAUAGCUCUUUGCUAACCACUACAUGAAUAGGUCUGUACACACACAUUGUUCUCCAGAAAACUUCUCCAAGAACAAGCAUGCUGCACAAGCACACAGAGAGGAAAGGAGCAGUUCUUAAGAAGCUCAGUUCACAGGGCACUAAGCUCCUCUGUGCUUUCUUCUAGAAGCUAAGAAAAUUCACUGAGUUCAUUGUGGGUAUAUUUUUCUAAUAUAUGUGGUUUAUCUUGUUGUUGUUGUUUUGUAUCUCUAUAUAAACAGCUUGUUAGGUUCCAUUACCAAUGUGAACACACACCUGCUACUCUGCUCGCCAGCAUAGCUCUCAUACACACUGUUCUCUCACUGUUCUCUCACCCCACACACAGAUAGACAGAAGAGCAGUUCUCAAGAAGCUCAGUUCUCAGGGCGCCAAGCUCUUCUGUGCUCUCCCCAUAGCAGUUCAACAUGUGGUUUGUUUGUAUCUGUUGAUAUAGUGCAAUAAAAAUUUUGUAUUAACAAAA